rnacentral:rRNA from 1 species
ACUGGCGACCGGCGCACGGGUGAGUAACACGUAUCCAACCUGCCGAUAACUCGGGGAUAGCCUUUCGAAAGAAAGAUUAAUACCCGAUGGUAUAAUCAGACCGCAUGGUUUGAUUAUUAAAGAAUUUCGGUUAUCGAUGGGGAUGCGUUCCAUUAGGCAGUUGGUGAGGUAACGGCUCACCAAACCUUCGAUGGAUAGGGGUUCUGAGAGGAAGGUCCCUCACAUUGGAACUGAGACACGGUCCAA